rnacentral:rRNA from 1 species
UACGUAGGGACCAAGCGUUGUCCGGAAUCAUUGGGCGUAAAGAGCGUGUAGGCGGCUUGUUAAGUCUUGCGUGAAAUCUCGGGGCUCAACCCCGAGCGGUCGUGAGAAACUGGCAGGCUAGAGUGCGGGAGAGGAGAGUGGAAUUCCUGGUGUAGCGGUGAAAUGCGCAGAUAUCAGGAGGAACACCAAUGGCGAAGGCAGCACUCUGGGACGUGACUGACGCUGAGACGCGAAAGCGUGGGGAGCAAACAGG